CAUGGGCGUUCCAGGGGCUCAAGGUCUGAGUGGACGCAAAGGAGAGAGAGGACCCAUGGGCGUUCCAGGUGCUCAAGGUCUGAGUGGACGCAAAGGAGACAAGGGCUUCCAAAGAAGAGGUGGACCCAAAGGAGACAUUACUCCGACGUGGAGGGACUAGCUGGUGAGAAAGGGGAAAACACAGAGUGAGGAGACCUUGGACAUAAUGGUCCAACAUGGAGACUCUGGGAAGCCAGGUGAUGUAGGACCCCCUGGACUGCCUGGUCCUCGGGGGUUGAAAGGCAUGAGCGGUGUGCAUGGCAGGCCGGGUAUUGAGGGUCCACCGGGACAAGAUAUAUCUGACCAGCAUAUUAUUGAUGUGGUAUAAAGAAUGUUGCAAGAGAGGCUGGCAGCAGUAGCAGUGAGCACUAAAAGGGCUGCGCCGUUGAACAACCGGCUAUUCUGGUCCUCCGUGAUUAAUGGUUCCACAAGGACCACAUGAUUUGCCUGGUUCCCGAAGAAUUCCUGGAACGAUGGGAGCUGACAGACGGAUUGGAAACACAUGUCUUAAAGCAGGAUGUGCUCCAUUCACCUGCUGGAGAGUACUGAGCCGUUUUGAGCAGGAGGAGAAUUUAUAGGAGGUCUGCAGUGGGCGGGGCUCACGCUCAACACUGCAGUGUCGAUGUUUGACUCUCCAAAUUAGAUCCUAACAUUGUGAUGGGUCUACUCGACGUUCAUCACAACGUGGACUCGCCAAAUUAUAUCCUAACAUUGUGAUGGGUCUACUCGACGUUCAUCACAACGUGGACAACCACACAGGUAAGUAUUGUAGUGUGUUUUGAAAGCAUUAAAAUGUUUGCUUUGAUGUUUCUCCGACUCCUGUUUAUUGUUGUGUCCAAAACAAGUUUGUGUGUUAAACUUGUGGCCCCCCAACAACACACACACCACAACAAAGUCCCCAGAAGGCCCACGAAUGAUGGGACGCCACCCAGACGGACUGGAGGCACAGGCUUGGUUAGGAUUAUGGUUAGGGUUAGGAUUGGGGGAAGGGGAAUGCACAGUCCGUCUGCAGCCCGCCCGGGCGACGCCCACACCAACCCCGGAACCCCCCGAAGACCCUGAAAGGUGCGCAUGCUGCGUCAGACACCAACAGCCAAAUUAGUAGCGGACAUGACUGGUCCUGCCAUCCAGCGACGCGUUUCGGUCUCUUGACCUCUUCAGGCUGGCUUUGCACUGAUUGCAGGAUGUAAACAUCUUUUUAACUGCGAGUCUGUGCCUACUGGGACACUUCUAAUUCCCUAGUAGGUGGGGCACUUCUAAUCCCCUAGACUAACGGCAACUCUAUUUUUCUCUACAGCAGGAUGUGCUCCAUUCACCUGCUGGAGAGUACUGAGCCGUUUUGAGCAGGAGGAGAAUUUAUAGGAGGUCUGCAGUGGGCGGGGCUCACGCUCAACACUGCAGUGUCGAUGUUUGACUCUCCAAAUUAGAUCCUAACAUUGUGAUGGGUCUACUCGACGUUCAUCACAACGUGGACUCGCCAAAUUAUAUCCUAACAUUGUGAUGGGUCUACUCGACGUUCAUCACAACGUGGACAACCACACAGGUAAGUAUUGUAGUGUGUUUUGAAAGCAUUAAAAUGUUUGCUUUGAUGUUUCUCCGACUCCUGUUUAUUGUUGUGUCCAAAACAAGUUUGUGUGUUAAACUUGUGGCCCCCCAACAACACACACACCACAACAAAGUCCCCAGAAGGCCCACGAAUGAUGGGACGCCACCCAGACGGACUGGAGGCACAGGCUUGGUUAGGAUUAUGGUUAGGGUUAGGAUUGGGGGAAGGGGAAUGCACAGUCCGUCUGCAGCCCGCCCGGGCGACGCCCACACCAACCCCGGAACCCCCCGAAGACCCUGAAAGGUGCGCAUGCUGCGUCAGACACCAACAGCCAAAUUAGUAGCGGACAUGACUGGUCCUGCCAUCCA